rnacentral:rRNA from 1 species
UACAGAGGGUGCAAGCGUUGCUCGGAAUUAUUGGGCGUAAAGGGGAGGUAGGUGGUCUCAUUUGUCUGGGGUGAAAUCCUUGAGCUUAACUCAAGAAGUGCCCUAGAAACGGUGGGACUGGAGUACUGGAGAGGGUCGUGGAAUUCCCGGUGUAGCGGUGAAAUGCGUAGAGAUCGGGAGGAACACCAGAGGCGAAGGCGGCGACCUGGACAGUAACUGACACUCAACUCCGAAAGCGUGGGGAGCAAACAGG